AUUGAACGCUGGCGGCAUGCUUUACACAUGCAAGUCGAACGGUAACAGGCCGCAAGGUGCUGACGAGUGGCGAACGGGUGAGUAAUGCAUCGGAACGUGCCCAGUCGUGGGGGAUAACGCAGCGAAAGUUGCGCUAAUACCGCAUACGAUCUAUGGAUGAAAGCGGGGGACCGUAAGGCCUCGCGCGAUUGGCGCGGCCGAUGUCGGAUGAGGUAGUUGGUGGGGUAAAGGCUCACCAAGCCGACGAUCUGUAGCUGGUGUGAGAGGAAGACACGCCACACUGGGACGGCGACACGGCCCAGACUCAUGCGGGAGGCAGCAGUGGGGAAUUUUGGACAAUGGGCGCAAGCCUGAUCCAGAAAUGCCGCGUGCAGGAAGAAGGCCUUCGGGUUGUAAACUGCUUUUGUACGGAACGAAACGGUCCUGGUUAAUACCCGGGGCUAAUGACGGUACCGUAAGAAUAAGCACCGGCUAACUACGUGCCAGCCGCCGCUGUAAGAC
rnacentral:rRNA from 1 species